rnacentral:rRNA from 1 species
CAGCAGCCGCGGGAAUACCGAGGGUGCGAGCGUUAAUCGGAUUUACUGGGCGUAAAGCGUGCGUAGGCGGCUUUUUAAGUCGGAUGUGAAAUCCCUGAGCUUAACUUAGGAAUUGCAUUCGAUACUGGGAAGCUAGAGUAUGGGAGAGGAUGGUAGAAUUCCAGGUGUAGCGGUGAAAUGCGUAGAGAUCUGGAGGAAUACCGAUGGCGAAGGCAGCCAUCUGGCCUAAUACUGACGCUGAGGUACGAAAGCAUGGGGAGCAAACAGGAUUAGAUACCCGGGUAGUCCCUGUCUCUUAUAC